AAACGUAGGGUGCAAGCGUUGUCCGGAAUUACUGGGUGUAAAGGGAGCGCAGGCGGGAAGACAAGUUGGAAGUGAAAACCAUGGGCUCAACCCAUGAAUUGCUUUCAAAACUGUUUUUCUUGAGUAGUGCAGAGGUAGAUGGAAUUCCCGGUGUAGCGGUGGAAUGCGUAGAUAUCGGGAGGAACACCAGUGGCGAAGGCGGUCUACUGGGCACCAACUGACGCUGAGGCUCGAAAGCAUGGGUAGC
rnacentral:rRNA from 1 species